rnacentral:rRNA from 1 species
GGUCAAGUGAAAAAGUGCGUACGGUGGAUGCCUUGGCGGCAAAAGGCGAUGAAGGACGUGGUAGUCUGCGAUAAGCCCCGGUCAGCUGACAAACAAGCAUUUGACCCGGGGAUUUCCGAAUGGGGAAACCCGCCCGCUACGGCGGGCAUCGGCGUCUGAAUACAUAGGGCGCCCGAAGCAAACCCGGAGAACUGAAACAUCUAAGUACCCGGAGGAAAAGAAAUCAACCGAGAUUCCCCCAGUAGCGGCGAGCGAACGGGGACCAGCCCUUAAGCCCGGGCGAGGCCAGUGGAAGUGUCUGGAAAGGCACACCAUAGAAAGUGACAGUCUUGUACACAAAAGCCUCGUUCGGGUGAAAUCGAGUAGGACGGAACACGUGAAAUUCUGUCUGAACAUCGGGGGACCAUCCUCGAAGGCUAAAUACUCUUUGCCGACCGAUAGUGAACCAGUACCGUGAGGGAAAGGUGAAAAGAACCCCGGGAGGGGAGUGAAAUAGUACCUGAAACCGUUCGCAUACAAGCAGUGGGAGCCCCUUCGGGGGUGACCGCGUACCUUUUGUAUAAUGGGUCAGCGACUUACUUUCAGUGGCAAGCUUAACCGUAUUAGGGGAGGCGCAGGGAAACCGAGUCUUAAAUGGGCGCACAGUCGCUGGAAGUAGACCCGAAACCGGGCGAUCUAGCCAUGGCCAGGAUGAAAGCGAGGUAACACUCGCCGGAGGUCCGAACCCACCUAUGUUGAAAAAUGGGGGGAUGAGCUGUGGCUAGGAGUGAAAGGCUAACCAAGCCCGGAGAUAGCUGGUUCUCCUCGAAAUCUAUUUAGGUAGAGCCUCGUGUCUUACUCCAGGGGGUAGAGCACUGUUAUGGCUAGGGGGUCAUCCCGACUUACCAAACCAUUGCAAACUCCGAAUACCUGGAAGUGUAAUCACGGGAGACACACGGCGGGUGCUAAGGUCCGUCGUGGAAAGGGAAACAGCCCAGACCGUCAGCUAAGGUCCCCAAAUCAUGGCUCAGUGGGAAACGAUGUGGGAAGGCACAGACAGCUAGGAGGUUGGCUUAGAAGCAGCCACCCUUUAAAGAAAGCGUAAUAGCUCACUAGUCGAGUCGGCCCGCGCGGAAGAUUUAACGGGGCUAAGUCAUGUACCGAAGCUGCGGAUGCCGAAAGGCAUGGUAGAGGAGCGUUCUGUAGGCCGUUGAAGGCGGACCGGGAGGUGUGCUGGAGGCAUCAGAAGUGAGAAUGCUGACAUGAGUAACGAUAAUGCGGGUGAAAAACCCGCACGCCGUAAGCCCAAGGUUUCCUGCGCAACGUUAAUCGGCGCAGGGUGAGUCGGCUCCUAAGGCGAGGCCGAAAGGCGUAGUCGAUGGAAAACAGGUUAAAAUUCCUGUACUUCGUGUUGUUGCGAUGGGGGGACGGAGAAGGCUGAAUCAUCCGGGCGUUGGUUGUCCCGGUGCAAGUGCGUAGGGAGCGCCCUCUGGAAAAUCCGGGGGCGCAAUUCCGAGACACGAUGCCGAGCUCCUUUUGGAGCGAAGUGAUUGAUGCCAUGCUUCCAGGAAAAGCCUCUAAGCUUCAGACAACACGAAACCGUACCCCAAACCGACACAGGUGGGCGGGGAGAGAAUCCCAAGGCGCUUGAGAGA